rnacentral:rRNA from 1 species
AUGCGUCCAUCUCAGGACCUCCGGCUGGCCGUGCUCCUCCUUUUGUCAGCCUCCGUCCUCCUCCCCACAGCCAGAGCCCAGCAGGAAACCGAGGAGGAGGAGGAGUUCAGCUACUCGCUGGACGCAGAGAAUGGGCCGGCGCACUGGGGCGACAUCAAGGAGGAGUGGUCCGCGUGCGGCAAGGGCAACAUGCAGUCGCCCAUCGACCUCGCCAGCCCGCGCGUCUCCCUCGUGCGCGGCCUCGGCUACCUCAACCACUCCUACGCCCCAGCCAACGCCACCAUCGUCAACCGCGGCCACGACAUCAUGCUCAAGUUCGAGGGCGACGCCGGGAGCGUCUCCAUCGGUGGCACGCCCUACUUCCUCCGGCAGUUGCACUGGCACUCCCCCACGGAGCACAGUGUCAACGGCCGCCGGUACGACAUGGAGCUACACAUGUUCCAUGAGAGCACCGAGGGCAAGGCCGCCGUCAUCGGCAUCUUCUACGAAAUCGGUGCCCACGACGCCUUCCUGCACAAGCUGGAGCCAUACCUGGAAAUGAUAGCGGAUCGGAAGGACAGGGAGGAGAAGAUGGGGAUGAUGGACCCGAGGGGCGCCCGGGGCAAGGCCAGCGUCUACUACCGCUACCUGGGCUCCCUCACCACCCCGCCCUGCUCAGAAGGGGUCAUCUGGACCAUAGUCAAGAGGGUGCGCACUGUGUCGAGGCACCAGCUGGAGCUUCUUAGGGAGGCUGUUCAUGAUGACAUGGAGAAGAACGCGAGGCCCCGUCAGGAGGUGAACAGCAGAGAUAUCAGCAUGUUCCGGCCUUUUGAGCAAAAUAGACAUUGA